rnacentral:rRNA from 1 species
CCUACGGGCGGCAGCAGUGAGGAAUAUUGGUCAAUGGACGAGAGUCUGAACCAGUCAAGUAGCGUGAAGGAUGACUGCCCUAUGGGUUGUAAACUUCUUUUAUAUGGGAAUAAAAUGUUCCACGUGUGGGAUUUUGUAUGUACCAUAUGAAUAAGGAUCGGCUAACUCCGUGCCAGCAGCCGCGGUAAUACGGAGGAUCCGAGCGUUAUCCGGAUUUAUUGGGUUUAAAGGGAGCGUAGGUGGAUUGUUAAGUCAGUUGUGAAAGUUUGCGGCUCAACCGUAAAAUUGCAGUUGAAACUGGCAGUCUUGAGUACAGUAGAGGUGGGCGGAAUUCGUGGUGUAGCGGUGAAAUGCUUAGAUAUCACGAAGAACUCCGAUUGCGAAGGCAGUUCACUGGACUGCAACUGACACUGAGUCUCGAAAGUGUGGGUAUCAAACAGGAUUAGAUACCCGUGUAGUC